rnacentral:lncRNA from 1 species
CAAAUUCGGAGCUCUCGUUGUAAGUCUCGUAUUGCCAUGCAAACCAUCCCUUCACCAUCUUCUCUUGAUCAAUUAGUGAAUCCCAUCACGAGUUGUCGCUAGUACCGGGGGUUUGGAUGGAUUUCUUUUCUGGACCUAUAUUAUAAUUCCAACAUGUCGAGACCCUUGAUCACACCUAUCUAUCUAUAUACACGGAUCUUUUAUGGUUUUCCCUUCAAAAGUUCGUCGAGCUCAACCUUGACCUCCUCGCAUCAUAUUUCACUAUCGGGC